rnacentral:rRNA from 1 species
UAGGGAAUCUUCCACAAUGGGCGUAAGCCUGAUGGAGCAACGCCGCGUGUGUGAUGAAGGGUUCCGGCUCGUAAAACACUGUUGUAAGAGAAGAAUGACAUUGAGAGUAACUGUUCAAUGUGUGACGGUAUCUUACCAGAAAGGAACGGCUAAAUACGUGCCAG